rnacentral:lncRNA from 11 species
GAAUUGAAAGAAAGAAGAAUGUAGUUGAAUGAUUUACUAUAAUAAAUCGAGACAAGAAAAUUAUAGAGAAAAUUUCUGCACCUACCGUACAAUCUAAUAGACAGGUUAUGUUGCAAAGAUUUUAUCUUGAAUUAUGUGUUUCUACUUUAUUGAUUUCAUUGCUAACCAAUGGUCAUAAUUAAUUUGAUAUAUGAUCUCCAUAAAUGUAAAAACUUAACCAAUCAAACAUUAAAAAUUGUCUCCGAUAAAUUUCUUCUUAAAUAGCAAGCAUUUCAUUCAAAAUCAAACUCAAUCGAUGAAUCAUUCGCUAUUAUCGAUCAAUCAUAUUUUAUACGCACAAUUUUAAAAUUAAUUCAAUAAAUGAACCAAAACACAAAAACCUAACUUUAGUCAAGCCUAAAUUUAAAAAUUAUCUGCAACAAAUUUCCACUAAAUUUCAAACAGCAAGCACUUCGAUCAAAUCACACCCACAAAACCACACGAAAUCACAUCAAUCAAUGAAAUAUCAACAAAUAUCGACAAAUUAUUCAAUAUUACUGAUCAAUCAUAUUUUGUAUCGCACAAUUCCAAAGUUUUAUUUAAUCUAAUAAAUGAAUCAACUUCAUAAAUGUAAAAAUCUAACCUUAAAAAUGAUAGAAAUUUUUCCAAAAGUUAAUCAUUUUCGAACAGCAAAUCACAUUCAAAUAUCGUUUUAUCGACAAACUAUCGAUGUUAAACUCGGAUCACUUCUCAUCCAUCAGUCAUUAAUGUUAACUAUUCACUAUAAAUAUUUCUUCCGAAAAAAAUCAAAAUUAUCGUAAAAAGAACGGUAUCAAGAUAACUCGAACGAGGGUGCUCGAAUGUCGUAUAAAAUAAUUUACAGUUCGUCUAUGCAAAAUACAACCACCAGCAAAGUGUGUGAAUGCACGUCGAUACGCGGCGUCUUGCUUGACCAACGAUGCAAGACGAGUCGAUAGGCUUAUCGAUUAGUCGACGCGGUCCAUCGCGAGACGUCAGUAUCGAACAGCGGCGAUUCCUGUCCGAUAUCUAGUCGAUAUCUAGUCGAUUUCUAACCAAUUCAUGGUAGUUGAAUGAUUCAGGGGAACGUUGACUGUGAGCUCGCCCCUGGCGCCGUGGCCUGUUUAAUUUUAGGGUAUUACGCGUGCAGGCGGCAGCCUGGUCGAGGCUAAAGGGUACCUCUGCCUCGGUAUUUGCCAAGAUAUUAUCGUGAAAAAGGGAAAGGAGAGAAGCAGUGGGUAACGAGGAGGGCGUGUCCGUUGGUUCGAGACGAGCCUCUAGGAUGCAUCCGACACUGUUUCGCGAAUUAGCCCCGUCUCGAAUCAUCGUGGCCCAUCGGGGAAAUCGUCGUGACUUGGGGUUGCUAGGCAAUACGUCGAAUGGGUAUCCUGUUCUUUGGAAUUGUGCGAAUCGGUUCAAUGCCUUUGCCAAUGAUGGUUCUCUGAACCAGUGUUUCUCAACUUGUGGAUCGUGAUUCUUAAAAAGAUCAGUUACAGCAUAAAUUGAGGCACAAGUUAAAUAGAAAUGUAAAAUACAUGCGGUGAUAAAAUACAGAAAUAGGUUUUGUAAAUAGAAGAGAAAUUUUUAACGGAAUACGUGCAUAAAAUAUGCAAGGUGACAGAGAAAGUGCAGCCAUCCUGAUGAAAAAUCAACUUCAAAUAAAAAAAGAACAAAAAUUUCUUCAAAUUAAAAAAAAAACAAAUGUAAAAGUAGUUUGCAUAUAUACUACAACUAAAACAAAACAGAAAUCAUACCUGAGUUCGAGGCGCUGAUUUUUUAUCUACGGAUGAAAUCAUAUAAUACGAUUAUGAUAUUUGCAUAUAUUUCUUUCCUGCUGCAAGCAAGAAUUGAUAUUCUUCAAUCAUUUCCAUAGAUCAAUCUCUUGAAGUAGAAAGAACGAGCGGCCUGUAAGGAAUAUCUACAGAAAUGAUUAUUGGCAAAUAACCGGAGUGGCCGCACGUCUGAGAUAUAACUUUGAUAUCGGAGUUGCGUGCAGAAUCACCGAAUUAUAUCGACUUGCAGCGAUCGAAGUGUGAAGCGUGCCGACGAUCGUGUGUUGAAUAUAUAAUCGACUUUUUGUAAGCCUUGAGAAACGAGUAUCCAUUCCUUUAAAAAUUCAACAAAUUUAUUCAAUUAUAUUUAUUCCAUCUAUUCGUUUAGAAAUUUAUAGAAAAUUUGAAUUAAAUGAAAAUUAGAUACAUAUGGCAUAUGAAUGUAUGCUGAAUAUAUAUUGCAAAUAUAAAACAAGUUUAACAAAAAAAGAAAGAAAUAAAAAAUUAGAAUAAUGAUAUCAUUUAUUUACAAAUUGCAUGGAUAGUUAAUGUAUUAUUUCUCAACAUCUAUAGCUUGUUGUAUGUUUGUAUAUUGAUGAUAUUCAAGAUAUUAUUCAAGGAAACAUUAACAGUUCAUCACAUUAGCCAUCACACGUUUAAUAAAAAUAGAAAAAUUCCAUUAUGAAGAAUCAGAUUAUCAUUGAAAAUAUAAAAAUGAAUUGUCUGGAAUAAAAAAAAUUGCAUCUUCAGAAUUUAAAUAAUUAAUCUUUAAACAUAGAAUAUGUUUUAAAUCUAAAAAUGAUUCAUAUUUCAAAAAUUUAUAACACUUUUAUAGUUUCCCAAAACUUUUUGAAAACAUGCUUUAUAUUUUAAAUAUAAAUCAAAUAAUUUAACUUGUUCAUUUUUAAACAAAUCAAACGUACACAUAGUUUAAACAUGUUUAAAAAUUAACGAGUUGAAAUACAGUCAAACUUGACAAGGUAUCCUUUAUCCUAAUCAUAAAUUUUACAAAAUUAGUCAUGCUUAUACGUUCAGUAAUGGUCCAUUGAUAAAAAUCUGAUACAAAUGCAAGUGUAAUUACGUAAGAAGAAUGAUCUGCUAUCUUUUUGUUACUAUGAACAGUUGUUAAAUUUAACAAAAAUCAUAAUCUGCCUCUAUAAAUCCGGUCGGCUUAGUUCUUAAGAAUUUUAUCUUGAAAGAGUGAACGAAUGGAAGGAACUACACGUUUUAAUCGAACUCUAAGUCUGAUGUAAGUACUAGCUAAAAGUCUCUCGUUCUUUGCUUUAUAUCGGUGUUAAAUCUUUCUUGAGAUAACACUGUUCUACCAGUUUCUACGUUCCUUCUCGAGAAGAAAAUUUACAAGUGGCAAGUAAAUUCUAGGAUGGAUGUUUCCUUAAAACAUGCUUAAACUAUUCUUAGAACAAGAGCACGGAUAAUUGAAGCGGAUGCAAUCGCGAGAACUGAAAUGCCGAAACGAGUCUUAAACGAGUUCGAAAGAUAAAGACUCCAUAAUGCUUGGCAAGAUGAAUCGUACCAUAUAUGAAGUGUGAAACCUCGAACGUUCGUCACAUUUUAUGGCUCAUUUUGUUACUCUUUAUUAUUCAUUGACAUGUAUCCUUGUUGACUUUUAAAUAUUCAAGACUAGUUAUUUUACUAGAGAUAUGUAACAGAAAGAUAUAAAUGUCUCAUCAAAUAUACUACAAAUAAAUAUGACUUUUUUUUAAUGAUUGACCUUUCACUAGAGAUAGAAUGUUACAAAUUUUAGGAUUUUGAAAUCUUUCAUAAAGUUUUUCAAGUUCUUUGA